rnacentral:rRNA from 1 species
GGUUAAGCGACUAAGCGUACACGGUGGAUGCCCUGGCAGUCAGAGGCGAUGAAGGACGUGCUAAUCUGCGAUAAGCGUCGGUAAGGUGAUAUGAACCGUUAUAACCGGCGAUUUCCGAAUGGGGAAACCCAGUGUGUUUCGACACACUAUCAUUAACUGAAUCCAUAGGUUAAUGAGGCGAACCGGGGGAACUGAAACAUCUAAGUACCCCGAGGAAAAGAAAUCAACCGAGAUUCCCCCAGUAGCGGCGAGCGAACGGGGAGCAGCCCAGAGCCUGAAUCAGUGUGUGUGUUAGUGGAAGCGUCUGGAAAGGCGCGCGAUACAGGGUGACAGCCCCGUACACAAAAAUGCACAUACUGUGAGCUCGAUGAGUAGGGCGGGACACGUGGUAUCCUGUCUGAAUAUGGGGGGACCAUCCUCCAAGGCUAAAUACUCCUGACUGACCGAUAGUGAACCAGUACCGUGAGGGAAAGGCGAAAAGAACCCCGGCGAGGGGAGUGAAAAAGAACCUGAAACCGUGUACGUACAAGCAGUGGGAGCCUCUUAAUGGGGUGACUGCGUACCUUUUGUAUAAUGGGUCAGCGACUUAUAUUCUGUAGCAAGGUUAACCGAAUAGGGGAGCCGAAGGGAAACCGAGUCUUAACUGGGCGUUAAGUUGCAGGGUAUAGACCCGAAACCCGGUGAUCUAGCCAUGGGCAGGUUGAAGGUUGGGUAACACUAACUGGAGGACCGAACCGACUAAUGUUGAAAAAUUAGCGGAUGACUUGUGGCUGGGGGUGAAAGGCCAAUCAAACCGGGAGAUAGCUGGUUCUCCCCGAAAGCUAUUUAGGUAGCGCCUCGUGAAUUCAUCUCCGGGGGUAGAGCACUGUUUCGGCAAGGGGGUCAUCCCGACUUACCAACCCGAUGCAAACUGCGAAUACCGGAGAAUGUUAUCACGGGAGACACACGGCGGGUGCUAACGUCCGUCGUGAAGAGGGAAACAACCCAGACCGCCAGCUAAGGUCCCAAAGUCAUGGUUAAGUGGGAAACGAUGUGGGAAGGCCCAGACAGCCAGGAUGUUGGCUUAGAAGCAGCCAUCAUUUAAAGAAAGCGUAAUAGCUCACUGGUCGAGUCGGCCUGCGCGGAAGAUGUAACGGGGCUAAACCAUGCACCGAAGCUGCGGCAGCGACACUAUGUGUUGUUGGGUAGGGGAGCGUUCUGUAAGCCUGUGAAGGUGUACUGUGAGGUAUGCUGGAGGUAUCAGAAGUGCGAAUGCUGACAUAAGUAACGAUAAAGCGGGUGAAAAGCCCGCUCGCCGGAAGACCAAGGGUUCCUGUCCAACGUUAAUCGGGGCAGGGUGAGUCGACCCCUAAGGCGAGGCCGAAAGGCGUAGUCGAUGGGAAACAGGUUAAUAUUCCUGUACUUGGUGUUACUGCGAAGGGGGGACGGAGAAGGCUAUGUUGGCCGGGCGACGGUUGUCCCGGUUUAAGCGUGUAGGCUGGUUUUCCAGGCAAAUCCGGAAAAUCAAGGCUGAGGCGUGAUGACGAGGCACUACGGUGCUGAAGCAACAAAUGCCCUGCUUCCAGGAAAAGCCUCUAAGCAUCAGGUAACAUNNNNNNNNNNNNNNNNNNNNNNNNNNNNNNNNNNNNNNNNNNNNNNNNNNNNNNNNNNNNNNNGGAGCUGAAAUCAGUCGAAGAUACCAGCUGGCUGCAACUGUUUAUUAAAAACACAGCACUGUGCAAACACGAAAGUGGACGUAUACGGUGUGACGCCUGCCCGGUGCCGGAAGGUUAAUUGAUGGGGUUAGCGGUAACGCGAAGCUCUUGAUCGAAGCCCCGGUAAACGGCGGCCGUAACUAUAACGGUCCUAAGGUAGCGAAAUUCCUUGUCGGGUAAGUUCCGACCUGCACGAAUGGCGUAAUGAUGGCCAGGCUGUCUCCACCCGAGACUCAGUGAAAUUGAACUCGCUGUGAAGAUGCAGUGUACCCGCGGCAAGACGGAAAGACCCCGUGAACCUUUACUAUAGCUUGACACUGAACAUUGAGCCUUGAUGUGUAGGAUAGGUGGGAGGCUUUGAAGUGUGGACGCCAGUCUGCAUGGAGCCGGCCUUGAAAUACCACCCUUUAAUGUUUGAUGUUCUAACGUUGGCCCCUGAUCGGGGUUGCGGACAGUGUCUGGUGGGUAGUUUGACUGGGGCGGUCUCCUCCUAAAGAGUAACGGAGGAGCACGAAGGUUGGCUAAUCCUGGUCGGACAUCAGGAGGUUAGUGCAAUGGCAUAAGCCAGCUUGACUGCGAGCGUGACGGCGCGAGCAGGUGCGAAAGCAGGUCAUAGUGAUCCGGUGGUUCUGAAUGGAAGGGCCAUCGCUCAACGGAUAAAAGGUACUCCGGGGAUAACAGGCUGAUACCGCCCAAGAGUUCAUAUCGACGGCGGUGUUUGGCACCUCGAUGUCGGCUCAUCACAUCCUGGGGCUGAAGUAGGUCCCAAGGGUAUGGCUGUUCGCCAUUUAAAGUGGUACGCGAGCUGGGUUUAGAACGUCGUGAGACAGUUCGGUCCCUAUCUGCCGUGGGCGCUGGAGAACUGAGGGGGGCUGCUCCUAGUACGAGAGGACCGGAGUGGACGCAUCACUGGUGUUCGGGUUGUCAUGCCAAUGGCACUGCCCGGUAGCUAAAUGCGGAAGAGAUAAGUGCUGAAAGCAUCUAAGCACGAAACUUGCCCCGAGAUGAGUUCUCCCUGAC